rnacentral:rRNA from 1 species
AUUGAAUGCUGGCGGCAGGCCUAACACAUGCAAGUCGAACGAGUGGCGGACGGGUGAGUAAUGUCUGGUAAACUGCCCGAUGGAGGGGGAUACCUACUGGAAACGGUAGCUAAUACCGCAUACCAUCGGCUUUGCCCAGAUGGGAUUAGCUAGUAGGUGGGGUAACGGCUCACCUAGGCGACGAUCCCUAGCUGGUCUGAGAGGAUGACCAGCCACACUGGAACUGAGACACGGUCCAGACUCCUACGGGAGGCAGCAGUGGGGAAUAUUGCACAAUGGGCGCAAGCCUGAUGCAGCCAUGCCGCGUGUAUGAAGAAGGCCUUCGGGUUGUAAAGUACUUUCAGCGAGGAGGCGUUACUCGCAGAAGAAGCACCGGCUAACUCCGUGCCAGCAGCCGCGGUAAUUC